GGGACACCUGGGGACACUGAGAUGCUGCUGAGUUACUGACAUGAGCCAGCCCUGCAGCUGUGCCCAGCCUGACCCCUCCCCAGCUCAUUUGCAUGUUCUCAGAACACAUCCUCCUGCCCUGAAGAUUUAUUAAUAGGCUGGACACACUUCGUGCAGGAGUCAGACCCAGUCAGGACACAACAUGGACAUGAGGGUCCCCAUUCAGCUCCUGGGGCUCCUUCUGCUCUGGCUCCCAGGUGCCAGAUGUGACAUCCAGAUGACCCAGUCUCCUUCCUCCCUGUCUGCAUCUGUAGGAGACAAAGUCACCAUCACUUGCCAGGCAAGUCAGAGUAUUAGCAGCUGGUUAACCUGGUAUCAGCAGAAACCAGGGAAAGCCCCUAAGCUCCUGAUCUAUAAGGCAUCCACUUUGCAAAGUGGGGUCCCAUCAAGGUUCAGCGGCAGUGGAUCUGGCACAGAAUUCACUCUCACCAUCAGCAGCCUGCAGCCUGAAGAUUUUGCAACUUAUUACUGUCAACAGUUUAGCAGCGCCCCUCCCACAGUGUUACACACCCGAACAAAAACCCCCAAGGAAGCAGAUAUGUGA